rnacentral:rRNA from 1 species
UACGUAGGGUGCAAGCGUUUGUCCGGAAUUAUUGGGCGUAAAGAGCGUGUAGGCGGCUCGAUAAGUCUGCUGUGAAAGUCCAGGGCUCAACCCUGGAAGGCCGGUGGAAACUGUCGGGCUAGAGUCCGGAAGAGGCGAGUGGAAUUCCCGGUGUAGCGGUGAAAUGCGCAGAUAUCGGGAGGAACACCAAUGGCGAAGGCAGCUCGCUGGGACGGUACUGACGCUGAGACGCGAAAGCGUGGGGAGCGAACAGG